CUGUGAAAUGGCCUGAUCUGCACUCCGGUCCAGGUGGUGGCGGUAUCGCGCCACCUCGUUGUUUGCCAACAGCCAUUGAACCGGAAGCGGAAGAAGAAAAGAAAACGAGCGCAUGGGUUUAUCCGUGAAGGCAACAGUCUAAAGCGUCAGGUUACGUCGUGGUUUCCAGCGUCACCAAUCAGCUGCAGCUGUUUCCUAGGACGGAGGCACAGAACCGUGUGUACACAUGGAGGAGAAGAACGGAGGUAUGACUGCAGGGAAGGCCUUGUCACAGCUGUAUCAGGGCACCGUGGGGGCUUCCUUUCCCGUUGGAACCGCACUGAGAGCAGGCGUGUUGUCACCGGAGUGGCGCUACAGCGACACCCAGAGGACGCGCACGUGAACUGCGGCUGAACAGGCUGACGUGAGCGACUGCUGCAGCUCAGAGACGCGUUAACGACAGAUUCUGUGGCUGAGAGCUGAAACUGCUUCAGCUUUUCCAGAAACUUGGAGAACCAGAAGGAAUCCUGCCAUCCUCGCUGCAGCUCAGGGUGACAAACACCAGGUGGCGACAUCUCCUCAGCUGGAGCUGCUGCCCUGCUGCUGGGUGGACUCUGGAACACAGGUACCACAUGGGGAGACAGAUGUCUUCAAGGUCCCUGACGCGUCUCUUGGCCUCAGCUCUCUCCUCAGAGUCAAAAUACCAGACUGUGAUGGCGUACCUGCAACACAACCAGCAACGCUCAGUUACUACAGUUUACUAGCAGAGCUUCAGUUCCACCUUUAUUCUAAGGACUGUUGUCUGAUAACUGUCAGUGAACUUGAACUGUAGAGCACUGAAGGUUUCUGACAGGACUGGUGUAAUAAUAAUAAUAAUACUGUGGAAAUAAAGUUCAGUCACCUGUG